GAACUAAUAAACCAAAUACAACAUUGAAUUCCUCCCCCCUCCCACCAAUUCGAUGUCAAGAACUUUGAUUAACUCGAAGCAAAACUAGUAAUGGUCUUAUAUCUCAAAAAGUUUUUGUCUCAAAAAUGUCAAGGCCUCCAAUCUUUAUCAAGGAUUUGGUGAAAGGUGAUGAAGUUUGGAAAAUGCACGUUCACGUUGUUGACCUUUAGGUUGUUAAGGAGAAAAGUGGGCAACAACACCUCAAGUUAAUGAUGGAACCUAGAUUUUAAGGGUUGGGUUGAGCAACUUAAGGAACAUGAAACUUAUGCACUUUAUAAUGGAGCACCAGUGGUUAAUGACGGCCCUUUCAAAGUAUGUUCCAAUAUCCUUAAACUUGUCUUCAAUGGAGGAACAACAAUUUCAAACAUUGCCAUACCAUAAAUACCUCCACACUAGUUCAAGUUCAAGGCUAUUGGAGAUUUUGUCAAUGGACAUUUCCAGAUUGAUAUGUUAUGCAGUGAUUUUUCCUUUAUGCAUACUAAUAAAUCUUUGUAUCCAACAUGUGUUCAUUAUGUUUGUGUUGAUGCUUAAGAUGUUAUUGGGAUUUUACAAGAUGUUGUGAAAACUCAAAUGGGUGGUGGUGGAAAGAAGUCAUGCGCCAAUAUCAUGUUGCGUGAUGAACCUGGUAAUGUCAUUGAGGUUGCAUUAUGGGAUGAUUAUGGUAAACAAUUUAUGAACUACAACAACUCUAACAAGAUUCAUGGUCCAACACUCAUUAUUUUUACACAUGCUUGGUGUAAGAAAAAUGCAGGUAUGCACCAUUGUUCAAUGAUUCUUCAUUCUCCUGCACUCUAACUAUAUUUUUCUAUUUAUGCAUCAACUUAUAGACUGCCAAGCCUUUCUAAUGCUCGGAAUGGCUCUAUACUUCACAUUAACCUAGAUCAUCCCCAAAUUCAGUGCUUGAAUCCAGAUAGUAAGCUUUACAUUUGGUCCAUUCCAAGUUGCAUAACAAUUCUGGAUUUCAAGUUGCAUAACAGUUAUGUAUUACAAAGCAUUCCAGCUCUGCCAUAUUGAGCUAGAAAAUUAUGAUUAUUUAAUGCAUUUCAGUGGUGGUUCAACACAAUCAUCAAAUGCAUCAUCACAUUCUAUGAGCCAAACAUGUGAUUCAUCUGUUCAAUCAACCAACAAAGGCUGGACUAGCCCGAAUGAGGUCAAGACUAUUCAUCAUAUCAAUGAAUUAGGAAAGGAUUGUUUUGCCACGACAAUUGGCACUACAAAGAGAUUAAAAGCCUUAAAGUUUGGAUGGUAUUUUGAUUCUUGCCAUGCUUGCAAGACCUCUAACAAGUCACGUGGAAGGAAUUUUGAAUGCAUUUGUGGAGUUAAGGAUGUGAAACCUAUCACUAAGCUGGAGAGGACAACCCCAAAAUAUAUCCGAAACAACUUGACAGACUAUUGAACAAAAAUCUAGCAUUUCAAAUCAAGUAUCAAUUUUUUUCCAACAAUACUCAAUUGUGACCAUCAUCAAGGAUGAUGAUGUUUGCAAAACAUUGAACAACUUGCUUAACCCUAAUGAGCAUACUUCAAAUGUUGCUAUUUUGAACUUUGACACAUCAAUUCCAAUGGAAGUUCAAGACCAACCUAUUAUGACACCGACUGCUAAACAUUCCAACUCUGCUCAACCAUCCACCUUUGUCAACCAAACUUGGAGUCCAUCAGCCAGCUCCAGCAACACCCCUGCUAAGAGGGUUGUAAUUUCAACAUCUCUUGAUGAGCUCUUCCAGAAUGAGGUCCUAACUCCUAAGAAAUCCACAACUAAAUCUAAACACCUUAAGAAGGAGUGAUUUUAUGGCCUUACCAUUGCAAGCCUCUCAUUUUGUUGCUUUGUAUUAUUUUGUUGACACCAUUUGUGUAAGGAUUGAUUCCAAACCUUAGGCCGUAAUAUCGCUUUAGCGUGUCAUUUUGAAUGUUUUCUUAUUGAUAUAACUUGAACUAAU